CCGAGUUUACAACUCCCAAACCCCAUGUGAACAUGACCACUGUUGCCUCGGCGGGCAUUCAUGCCCCGGCUCCCAGCCCGUACUAAACGGGACGGCCCGCCAGAGGACCACCUAAAACUCUUCUGUAUGUCCUCCCUUUAUAUUCUGAACAUCUCUGCGCCCUAAACGGCAUUCGAAAAUGAAAUCA
rnacentral:misc_RNA from 1 species